rnacentral:rRNA from 1 species
GGACGAACGCUGGCGGUGUGCUUCACACAUGCAAGUCGAACGAGGUAGCAAUACCUAGUGGCGGACGGGUGAGUAACGCGUGGGAAUCUGCCUUUAGAUGGGGGAUAACGGGCCGAAAGGUCCGCUAAUACCGCAUAUGCCGCAAGGUGAAAGGAGUAAUCCGNCUAAAGAUGAGCCCGCGUCCGAUUAGCUAGUUGGUAGAGUAAGAGCCUACCAAGGCGACGAUCGGUAGCUGGUCUGAGAGGAUGAUCAGCCACAAUGGGACUGAGACACGGCCCAUACUCCUACGGGAGGCAGCAGUGGGGAAUUUUACGCAAUGGGGGAAACCCUGACGUAGCGACACCGCGUGAGCGAAGAAGCCCUUUGGGGUGUAAAGCUCUGUCAGCUGGAACGAAAACAAUGACGGUAC